GCCUAGCUGACUCAAUUGGUAGAACAUGAGACUUUUGAUCUCAGGGUCGUGAGUUCAAGUCCCACACUGGGCA
rnacentral:tRNA from 1 species